rnacentral:rRNA from 1 species
GAUGAACGCUAGCUACAGGCUUAACACAUGCAAGUCGAGGGGCAGCAUGGUCUUAGCUUGCUAAGGCCGAUGGCGACCGGCGCACGGGUGAGUAACACGUAUCCAACCUGCCGUCUACUCUUGGACAGCCUUCUGAAAGGAAGAUUAAUACAAGAUGGCAUCAUGAGUCCACAUGUUCACAUGAUUAAAGGUAUUCCGGUAGACGAUGGGGAUGCGUUCCAUUAGAUAGUAGGCGGGGUAACGGCCCACCUAGUCUUCGAUGGAUAGGGGUUCUGAGAGGAAGGUCCCCCACAUUGGAACUGAGACACGGUCCAAACUCCUACGGGAGGCAGCAGUGAGGAAUAUUGGUCAAUGGGCGAGAGCCUGAACCAGCCAAGUAGCGUGAAGGAUGACUGCCCUAUGGGUUGUAAACUUCUUUUAUAAAGGAAUAAAGUCGGGUAUGCAUACCCGUUUGCAUGUACUUUAUGAAUAAGGAUCGGCUAACUCCGUGCCAGCAGCCGCGGUAAUACGGAGGAUCCGAGCGUUAUCCGGAUUUAUUGGGUUUAAAGGGAGCGUAGAUGGAUGUUUAAGUCAGUUGUGAAAGUUUGCGGCUCAACCGUAAAAUUGCAGUUGAUACUGGAUAUCUUGAGUGCAGUUGAGGCAGGCGGAAUUCGUGGUGUAGCGGUGAAAUGCUUAGAUAUCACGAAGAACUCCGAUUGCGAAGGCAGCCUGCUAAGCUGCAACUGACAUUGAGGCUCGAAAGUGUGGGUAUCAAACAGGAUUAGAUACCCUGGUAGUCCACACGGUAAACGAUGAAUACUCGCUGUUUGCGAUAUACAGCAAGCGGCCAAGCGAAAGCGUUAAGUAUUCCACCUGGGGAGUACGCCGGCAACGGUGAAACUCAAAGGAAUUGACGGGGGCCCGCACAAGCGGAGGAACAUGUGGUUUAAUUCGAUGAUACGCGAGGAACCUUACCCGGGCUUAAAUUGCAGAUGAAUUACGGUGAAAGCCGUAAGCCGCAAGGCAUCUGUGAAGGUGCUGCAUGGUUGUCGUCAGCUCGUGCCGUGAGGUGUCGGCUUAAGUGCCAUAACGAGCGCAACCCUUGUUGUCAGUUACUAACAGGUUCCGCUGAGGACUCUGACAAGACUGCCAUCGUAAGAUGUGAGGAAGGUGGGGAUGACGUCAAAUCAGCACGGCCCUUACGUCCGGGGCUACACACGUGUUACAAUGGGGGGUACAGAGGGCCGCUACCACGCGAGUGGAUGCCAAUCCCCAAAACCUCUCUCAGUUCGGACUGGAGUCUGCAACCCGACUCCACGAAGCUGGAUUCGCUAGUAAUCGCGCAUCAGCCACGGCGCGGUGAAUACGUUCCCGGGCCU